rnacentral:rRNA from 1 species
UACGUAGGGUGCGAGCGUUGUCCGGAAUCAUUGGGCGUAAAGGGUGUGUAGGCGGGUCUUUAAGUCAGUGGUGAAAUCUCCGAGCUCAACUUGGAAACUGCCAUUGAUACUAUUGAUCUUGAAUUUUGUUGAGGUAGGCGGAAUAAGUCAUGUAGCGGUGAAAUGCAUAGAUAUGACUUAGAACACCAAUUGCGAAGGCAGCUUACUAAGCAAAUAUUGACGCUGAGGCACGAAAGCGUGGGGAUCAAACAGG